UAAGAAUUCAUCUCUACCUAAUUAAAAA
rnacentral:piRNA from 1 species